AGGGAGAGUACUCACAAGGUCAUUAUGGGGCAACAAUGGGCACUUAGAACACUCCUCUGGGGACCCGCAGAACAAGAGAAGGAGGGCAGUCAGAACCCCUGCUCCGAGUAGCCGGCUCUGCUUGAGACAGAGAAGAACUCCUAUUAUACUACCUACGAAACUAGAGCGCCAGGCGGUUGUCAUGCGUGCUUUCUGUCCUGUUUUCCAAGUUAGAAAGUUCAGUAGCUGAUUAAAGGAGAUGGUAAUUAUUGAGAAGAAAAUUAGCAGCUUACGAGAUUCAGUGGAAGAAGUAUCUCAAACAGGGAGCAAAAAAAAUAAAGAGCUGGAAAUUGAGGAGAAAUGAGCCAUUUGGAGAACAGAACAAAUGUAUGGGGGCCACAACAACUCAUCAAAUAGCACAUGCCUUUCCCAUAAGCGCUGGUGCUUUGUAUGUCCUGAGGAUGAUACGACUGCUGGCCGGGCAGAACCGACGCACUCCGCAGCCCCAGAGUCACAGAGUUCAUCUGCAACCUCUGAUUCUAUUCUCCUGGAAAAUAACGCUGCAGUGAAAGAAAACCACCCUACAAGAGCCCCUGCUUUGGCCCGGAGGCAGCUGCCCAGCUGUGCACAGCAAAGCCGAGCCAGGAAAUCGCUCGUCUUCUGGCUGCUCAGUGAUGGAGAACGCGCUGGGGGAAGGUUAGCCCAGGAACAUCAUCAUUUGCAUCAGCAGACAGCAGGCUGUCCUGCAGGCGAGUCAGCUCGCUGGAUCCCUUCUAGUGGUGGGAAUUGGGCCUAAUCCCCGUGGAGGGGCCCAGGAUGCUGCCACAGGGCAAGAUCAGGUCACCACACAGCGAGCUCAGGCUCUUGGGUCUCUUCUCUGUUCUUUAAGCACAGGAGUCUUUUCAACACACUUCUUGGUUUUCACUAUUCAUGUCCACCUAUCUCUUUCUUGCUGUGGUUGUUACUGUGCCCAUAUCACUGGUUUAAAAAAAUGCUGAAUCCAAGAAAGGAUUGACUUUAAAUUAAUAGAUGAGAGAGGGGCCGGCACUGUGGCCCAUCAGGUUAAACCCCUUGCCUGCAGCUUCGGCAUCCCAGAUGGGUGCCGGUUAGAGUCCUGGCUGUUCCACUUCAGAUCCAGAUCCCUGCUAAUGUGCCUGGGAAAGCAGGGGAGGAUGGUCCAAGUCCUUGGGCCUCUGCACCCGCAUGGGAGACCUAGAGGAAGGUCCAGGCUCCUGGCUUUGGAUUGGCUCAGCUCUGGCUGUUGCAGCCAUUUGGGGAGUGAACAAGCAGAUGGAAGACCUCUCUGUCUCUCUGUAACUCUGUCUUUCAAAUAAAUAAAAUAAAUCUUUAAAAAAUAGAUGAGAGAGCUGGGAUUUUAAAUCGCUUUUAAAACUUUUAAAAAAUAAUUAUUUUGGGGCCAGCACCAUGGUGCAGUGGGUUAAUCCUCUGCCUGCAGUGCCGGCAUCCUAUAUGGGCACUGGUUCUAGUCCCGGCUGCUCCUCUUCCAAUCCAGUUCUCUGCUGUGGCCUGGGAAAGCAGUAGAAGAUGGCCCAAGUGCUUGGGCCCCUGCACCUACAUGGGAGUCUGGGAAGAAGCUCCUGGCUCCUGGCUUCGGAUCAGUGCAGCUCUGGCCAUUGUGGCUAUCUGGGGAGUGAACCAAUGGAAGAAAGACUUCUCUCUCUGUCUCUUCCUCUCAUUGUCUGUAACUCUACCUCUCAAAUAAAUAAAUCUUUAAAAAAAUAAUUAUUUUGAGAGUCAGAGAGAGACAGAGAGGAAGCAAGAGAGAGAGAGAGAGAGAGAUCUCCUAUCUGCUGGUUGAUUUCACAAAUACCUACAAUAGGGCUGAAUCAAGGAGCAGGACAGGAGCAGGAACUCAAUCUAGGUCUGCCACGUGGAUAGGAGGAGCCCAGUUACUUGAGACAUCAUUGCUGCUUCCCCCAGGGUUCGCAUUUGCAGGAAGCUGGAAUUAGUAGAGUCAGAUAUCAAGCCCAGAUACUCUGAUGUGGGAUGCAGGCAUCUUAACUGGAGCCCUAACCACUAGGCUAAAUGGCUGUCCCUGGAAUUGCUUUUUGACCACAGUUGUUCUUUGUGGUUUCUUUCUGCUUCUGGACUGGAGGACAGCAAAGGAAGAAACAACACUAUUGAUUACUUUCCAUUUGUAGGCACUUUACUUGUGCUAAUUCAAUCAAUAACACCCAUUUUAUAGGUAAAGAAACCAAGUCUCAGAGAAGUUAAAGAACAUGCCCAAGGCUGCAAGGCUGGUGAGUGGUGAGCUGAGAUGUGGCUCCAGGAGUUGUCUGAGUUUAUCUUUCCUCUCCUAUGAUGUCUGCAGACACUUCUGGCCUUGGGUCAGGGCUGGGUUCCUUGUCUGUCGUAAUCUGUGGGCUCAAGCACUGUGUAGCUUUCCUGAUUCAGAACCGCUGGGCCUACCAGGAGAGUCAGCUACUGAGCUGUAACCACCAACACACUUGAUGGGCCCUCGCAGAGUCUUGUCUGCUUCAGUUGAGAGUGUCUCAUAAAUAGAACUCACCUCCCCAGCAGCAAGGAAGCCCUUGGCAAACUGGCUCUUCCUGGGAUCUGGGCAUGGGCUCCCCCGGGGUCUCACCCUGCGGGCUGAGAGCCAUGUCCACAACAGGGCCGUGGUUCUCCAGCCUUGACCCCAUGGGAGGAUCUGCAGACUCCGUCCCCGUGCCCUGCUUCGGCAUUGGAGGAAGAACCCUAGGAAUGGACUUCAGGUCCUACAUGUAUCUCAUCCCCUGAAGUCUGAGACAUUAGGUUUCAAUGCAGAAGUUAAAUCGUUAUUUUGUGUAAUUAUGAUUUAGGCCUAGGUGCCUUAAUCUCCACUCCAGUUUUUUGCCUCCCACGGAGAUAAGAAUUAAAAAUGGAGGUUUAUAUAUGCACAAAUGAGAACAGGAUUUAUUUAAAAACUUGAGAGGGAACAGAUAUUCAUACUUGAGUGCAGGCCACCCCCCACAGGGAGAUAUCUGUCAUGAGUAGGCCAGAGAGUAGCCUAUGAAGAGAGAGGUAAGGCCCCGAGCUAGGUCCCAAUGCACGGUUGGGGCAGAAGAGUGUCUCUUCCCCAUUAUCAGUCUCUUUUAUGAGGUAGGGGUGGUGCCUGAAUUGGAUAACAAACUGGGUGAGAUCUUAGCAUGCAUGUAGCUUUCUGGGAUUUUUAUGGCACUUCCAGGUGGAGCUUAACUUCCGUGUGGCCAUCAUAGCAGCUCCUUCCAGGUGUAUCCAGGAAAGCUGGGCUCGUGAAGGGGUGAAGUUACUACACUACAGGGUUCACCUUAACUCCCUGCCUAAUUACCCCUUAUCAGUCAGAGUUAGGACCAGUGAAUAAGAUCUUCCAAAAUGUGUAUUCAGUAAGCAAAUGUAAAGGACAACAGUUUGCAAGUCAACUUAGUAGUGACCCUGGCUCGCCACUAUCUGGUCCAGAUGUGACGACUGAGGGCCAGGGAGGGAGUGGCUGUGCAGGCUGAGGCAGGACGUGUGUUAAUGGAUGCCUCCUCCUUUUUAAAUUUUUUUUCGUAAUUAUGCCAUGAUCUUGCUACUUUCUACAUCCUGUUUCUCAUCUUCAUUUUGACCCAAUUUACCAAAUUAAUUCAGAUCAAAAUGUUCAUUUGGGCUGUAAAUUGGCUGAAUAAUUGCUGUAUGGAUCUCCUUCCAGCAGCUGUGUCAGAGAGCCCUCGAAGCCAGCCUGGGAUGGCUCUGCCACGUGCUCCCCCCUACAAAGCACAGCACACACAGGGAGAACCUCAGGACAGCGACAGGACAGCGAGAGAACUGGGGAUCCUGAAGAUGGCAGCUCCCCGCACAGAAGAGACUGGACAGACAUUCCCAAGUGUAUCUGAACAGGGGUCCACACUCUGGCCUAGGAUCAGCCCGGUGGUUCAUCCGGACACCGUCUUCCGCAGGAAGCCUGCAGCUCCUCCCUCCCUUCCCCUGUGGAGAGGAACUCUCUGUGCUCCGUGGUGGUCCCAGUAAGCAUCUUAGCAAAGAGAAAAGGAAAAACAAAACAAAACCUGCAAACUACAGCUCAGCAGAGCCAAGCUGUCUGACUGGCUGUAUUUAUCUUGACAAUUUCUGUCCUUGUGGUUUUUUUUCUUCUCUGAGUAAAGCUGUUCUUUUGAUCCCAGCCACGCUCAGAGAGAAGCAUGGCACUGAGAUAAUUAUUUUUUGAAGUUGCUGUGGCAUCACAGCCAGAGACAGCCCCGCCUCACUGAGAGCGGGUCCUUCUGAGAGAGUCUGUUCCGCUGUGUGCCUGGACACGAGGCGGGGCCAGGAGGGCACCCUGGAGUGACCCAGACCCAGCCAGUCCCAGCUCUUGGGGAAGGCUUCACGUAUGGCUCACGGUCAGGCUGCUCCAGCAGACGGCUUUGUUGGGUGGCUGAGCUACGAAAGAUCCCCAGGUAGAUCCAAGACGCAGAGAAGGGUCUGGGGCGGAGGGGCAAGGGGACAGAGCAAGUGACAGCGGUGAGAGGGGAGCUGCUGAUCCCCGGGCAGGGUGCCAGGGGUGGGAACUGGCUUGGUCAACCACACAGCUCCUUCUCACACAGAGGGAGGUGGAUGUAUCGUGUCCAUCUCUGGUCAGGGGAGGUUCCCGGCAGUCCAGGUGGACAUGGAUACCCUUUUCUUGGUGUCCGGCUGGUUCCAACCAGGCUAUGGUAAGGGGAGUGGGACCUUCCUUAAGGUAUUGGAGGACCCAGCCAGGUAACUUGGGCUUCCCCUGGUGGGUGAUCCUGCCCAAGGGGCCGCUUGUGUCAAGGCCAUCAAUUCUUCCCCAGCACUGGAGGGUGCAGUACAUCCCUGGGCUCAGGGAAGCAUGGGCAGCACUGAGUGACACCUCCAUCCCACUCUUUCUGAGCCACGGCUGUGAUUCUGAGACAAUAGGAAACAGGAAACCCUGCCUUAGGAAUCAGGCCUGGGCUGGGCCCUGAGUUAUUAGGCUGGAUAAGGGUGCAGAGGCCCCAAGGCAGGGCAGACCCCUCACUACAAUCCCUGGCUCUGUGGUCAGUGCACUUGAAGUGUGCUAGGUCAGGAGUCCAGUCUCAAAGUACCAGGGUGCAGAGUUGAAAGCCAGAGCCAGCUUCUCAAAUCACUCAGAGAUAAGAAUGCCUCCUGAUCUAAUCUCUCUCUGAAUUUUCCCUGAGGCUUUUGCUGCUCUUUGCUGUGGCACCAAAGCCGCAUUAGCGAGCACCAAAGCUCCUUUAUA